rnacentral:misc_RNA from 1 species
UCCGUAGCCAUUUUGGCUCA